rnacentral:rRNA from 1 species
AAGAUGGCGACCGGCGGCACGGGUGAGUAACACGUAUCCAACCUGCCGAUAACUCCGGAAUAGCCUUUCGAAAGAAAGAUUAAUACCGGAUGGCAUACGAAUAUCGCAUGAUAUUUUUAUUUAAAGAAUUUCGGUUAUCGAUGGGGAUGCGUUCCAUUAGUUUGUUGGCGGGGUAACGGCCCACCAAGACAACGAUGGAUAGGGGUUCUGAGAGGAAGGUCCCCCACAUUGGAACUGAGACACGGUCCAA